UAGGGAAUAUUGGUAAUGGGCGAAAGCCUGAACCAGCAACGCCGCGUGUGCGAUGACGGCCUUCGGGUUGUAAAGCACUUUUUCCGGGACGAGGAAGGACGGUACCGGAAGAAUAAGCCUCGGCUAACUACGUGCCAGCAGCCGCGGUAAAACGUAGGAGGCGAGCGUUAUCCGGAUUUACUGGGUGUAAAGCGCGUGCAGGCGGCUCGAUAAGUUGGAUGUGAAAGCUCCUGGCUCAACUGGGAGAGGU
rnacentral:rRNA from 1 species